GCCAGUGUGAUGUAGUGGUUUGAGUUUUGGACUAGGACUCUGGGUACCAGGGUUCAAAUCCCUGCUCAGCCA